AUAGAGAUUUUCAUGAUCUUAGCUUUCCUCUUUCCUCAGAACGUUGCUUUCAAGUACAGAUGGGCCUACACUGCAAGUUUGGGAUCCAGACUGGGGUUUGGACCUGACAUUCAUCAGUGUAGGCAUCUAAGCCUAGCAUCUGAGGACAACAGAAGAGGAGAUUCUGGUACCCCAAGACAAGAAAAACAUGGAUUUUCAGCUGUUUCACAAAAAGCGCUCUCUCUAUUUUAAAGACUUAUCAGCUGAGUUAUCUGUCUGAGGAAAGUGGCCUAAUAAUGCAGUUUUGCUGCAGACAUGGCCUCAGCUGCAUGGGGCCCAAGGACGUAGGAGUUCUCCAGAUCUAUUUCAAACAGUGGAAAGAAAUGUUGAAUAGAUGAAGAUGUUAUGAAGAGGUUGGCUACCCUUUCUUGCUACUUAUCCAAAGAUGAACUCUCCAUGUGUUGUUGCUGAAGUGCCUGAAUGCCUGAGCACGGGCAGUACGUUGGUGACCGAGCAUCACCAUGCCCAGCAAGUAC